rnacentral:rRNA from 1 species
GUUCCUGGCUCAAGAUGAACGCUAGCUACAGGCUUAACACAUGCAAGUCGAGGGGCAGCAUGGACCCAGCUUUGCUGGGUUUGAUGGCGACCGGCGCACGGGUGAGUAACGCGUAUCCAACCUGCCCUUUACUCCGGGAUAGUCUCCUGAAAGGGAGUUUAAUACCGGAUGUGUUUGUCUUUCCGCAUGGGAGCGACAAAUAAAGAUUAAUUGGUAAAGGAUGGGGAUGCGUCCCAUUAGCUUGUUGGCGGGGUAACGG